rnacentral:rRNA from 1 species
UACGUAGGGGCCUAGCGUUGUCCGGAAUUAUUGGGCGUAAAGAGCUCGUAGGCGGCAAUUCAAGUCAUCUGUGAAAUCUCCGGGCUUAACUCGGAAUGGUCAGGUGAUACUGCUUUGCUAGAGUGCAGAAGGGGCAAUCGGAAUUCUUGGUGUAGCGGUGAAAUGCGUAGAUAUCAAGAGGAACACCUGAGGUGAAGACGGGUUGCUGGGCUGACACUGACGCUGAGGCGCGAAAGCUAGGGGAGCAAACGGG